GGAACUGUCUCCUCCUGGUUUGUGCCUGGGGUAAGAUUCUCAGAGGCGUCCUGACAUCACCGUGACCAUGAUUUCACCAGGCUGACACUCUGCAAGGUUGUCAUAAUCUGAAAUCUCUGCUCCUGGAAAGAGAAUUCUCUGUUUGAGAUGAAUAAUAGGUUGAAUAUGGUAUGUGACAGCUCUGUAGUCUCUGAAGAUAUAACAUGAACAAAUAUAUUCUGGAAAACUGGUGUUAGAAUGCUACUGAGGAUUUAGAAGGAUCUCGACUACCAGACAGGGAAUCAUUCAGAAGACUUUGAUCUAGGAUGACACUUCACUCCUACAAACCUGCCAGCAAGUCAUGGCAGUCUCCCCCUGAGUCAAGCUCCCGGCUUGCUCCAGUGCUGCCUGUCUCUUCAGCAUCCUGCGUAACCUCAUCAGUGUCCACCCGUGAGUCACGCCGUAAAGCAC